ensembl:lincRNA Gm11412 predicted gene 11412
AGACACAAGAUGGGAAGAUGGGGGAAGCGAAGGAUGAAGAGCUAGGGCAGAGCCUGAGUUGUGAGGAGGGAGCAAAAAUCUGCCCCCAGGACUGUCUGAGUCCACACUGGCUGCUCGGCUCAUGGUGCAGGUGUGUGGGAGCCCUCCUCCACAUGGUCUCCACAGCAACCCGCCACUCUAAUCUGCUGAAUAUGAAAAGAAGAAACAGAAAGAGAAAAGCCAUCCACCCCCUUCUGCUCCAUCCAUGAGUCCAAAAGAAGGAUAUCGUCUCCAGGCAUUCCUGAUAAUACCCCAGCCAUUGCCCUGGCAACAGUCACAGGGAGCCGGCAUGGCCUGUGGAGAAAGCAGUCCCUGUCUCUAGCUCAGGCGGCUUCCUCCUCCUCCUCUUCUCCCACCACGGAUCUCCUAAUAGCCCCUAACAAUUGUGCACCCCACUUUUGGCCCACUGCCUCAUGCCCUCCAGCCUGCCAGCGGACCACUGACACAGAGAAUACAGAAAUCCACAUACUUUUCUCCUAAUGGUACUGAAAUGAUACUUGCAGGCAUGCAUACAGGCUUCUAAGUGUGUAUAGAUGAGAUUGUGUGUGUGUGUGUCUGUGUGUCUGUGCCUGUGUAUAGAUUUGAAAGACUCUUCACCUCUAGCUCCCCUGCAGAUGAACUGUGUUUACACGCUGAAUGAAGAAGUGGAGACUACUUCUUAUCAAAGCUAAGAGUUUGGAAAAGCCACCGCUUACAACUCCCAUUCUCUCAGCUGAGCUGGCUGAGGAGGUUUGCAGAGCCCUUUGCUCUGAGCCUCAUACCCAGCAGUGAAAGCUCUCAUUUGUCUUAAGGCCAUCAUGUUGAUGCAGCUGGCUUUGACACUGCUUACCUCAGCAUUUUUUUUUUUUUCGGUUGAAAGACAGAAGGCUUCCUUGUGAUCCCAGCCUUUUCCUAUCAAAUGACACUCAGCCUGGGUUUGGGUGACUUAUUUACUGGCACUAGACCAGUAAAAACAAAAAUGAACGUUCGCAACUAAUAAAUCCUCGUGCUUAGAUAGCUAGAGCCACAGCGGUGGGAUUACACCAGAAUGCUCGGCCGUUACUGGAGGGCUCCCAGGCUGUGCGGAGCCUAGUAAGUCAGAGGAGGAAAGGGGACCAAAUCAAGGAGCAGAGAAAUUACGUGCAGCAUGGGUUUUGGACAAUGAAAACCUUUUAUCUUCACUCUACGAUGUGCUUUCCGGGUGGGAGAUUCUACAGGCAGAAAUAGGGUGCACUGUGUUUGCAUCAUCGCGGUGAGCCUGCUAAGCUUGCCACCUUGACCUUCCUUUCUUGAAAAUCAAACCACACCCAUCUUCAGUAAGAUGAAAAAAGACAGCUAAGAUUCUGGACAGCGCAAUCACAGCUUUUCAGAGAACUGAAAGGAGCUAUUUUUAUAGAGGGCACGAGGUCAAGAAUGUUUAGCAAACAAAUUGAAUGUCAUCUACUCGCAGAGAAUUCUCCAAGGACCUUCCUUCUCCCAGGCCCUUGUGGAAAGUGAGGGCACCUCUGAGAGGCGGGUGCAAUGAUGUUUUUCCUUGUUUCAGAAUUGAUCUUUGGUAUAGAAGAACAUUUUUAUGUUAAUAUAAAUCCAAAAGAAUCCCACCAUAAAAUAUCGACACAGCCAAAGCUUUCCUUCUUCCACGACUACUUCUAAGACUCUGAGCAUCCACACUUCCUUUAAGGUUAGGUCUGCUGGGGCAGCUACCAUUGUGUCACAGUGGAAAACUUCCUCAUAGGAUUUAACCUGAUGGAACUAAAUAGAGAUUAAAAAGCAGAGGAUUUUUUUAAAGUAUAAGUCAAAUGGCCUUUGUACAAGCUAAUGGGCAUUUGACUAUUUGGAAAGAUGAUUGACAGCCAUUGAUUUCUCUCUUCCUUUUUAAUUUUGGCUUCAUGACUGAGAGACUACCACAAAGGAUAUUUACUGGUGACAUAUUAGAACACAGCCACCCAGCGGUUCGACUUGUUUGUAUAAUUCCUUUAAUCUAUGUUGUUGCCACUGUCAUCCUGUUUAGCUGUGAUGUCCCCUCAUUACAAAGAAGAUACCUACAAUGAGUGGAUAAUGGGAGCUAUGCUCUCUCAAAGCACCCAAUGAAAGAACAUAUUACAAGUCUUUCAGAGCUCUGCGAAAUUAUUGCAUCUGAUGGCUUUGACAGUGCCAUCCUUAAGGUAAAACCAGAUGAAUCAAAUGUGCAUAGACUAGUUCAGUCGUCUCAUUAGGAAGCUUUUAGAAUGCUUGCUGUCCACCAAUGACGCAGCCUCUUUAAAUGCUUUCAUAAGUCUUCAGGGUUGAAAUGUAAUGUCUCUGUGAUGGAACAUAGUUAGACACUCCUCCCUCUCCAUGGAGAGAGAGAGAGAGAGAGAGAGAGAGAGAGAGAGAGGAUGGGAAUGAAAUAUGUAUACUCUCUACUCAUUGUCUCUAAGGAUAAUCAAAUACUGUGUAUGUGUGCAGUGUGUGAAUGUAUGUACAUGUUUAUGUAUGGGUGGUACACGCAUAUGAAUAUUCACAUCCAUGUGUAUGCAUGCAGAGUCUGGAGAAGGGUGUAAUGUAUUUUCCUUGGCCUGAGACUGGGUCUCUCACUGGAUAGAAAGUGUGCCAUUUUUAGUAGGCUUUUACCCGGGACCUGGAUUUAUCUCGGAUCCUUGUGUUUAUAAAGCAUGUAUUCUUAACUACUGAGCUAUCUCCCCAGUCCCAAGGAUCAAUUAUCUUCUGAUUAUUUAAAUACUUAGAAAAUGAGCUAUCAUGAAUUCAAAUAAUCUUUAAAUGUUGUG